UCACUACUUGCGUAGGCAGUCCACCUAGAGUGCCCAGCAUUACCUGAUGGCAACUAAGUGUAGGGGUUGCGCUCGUUGCAGGACUUAACCUAACACCUCACGGCACGAGCUGACGACAGCCAUGCAGCACCUGUACAAGAACGUAUUGCUACGAGGCCGACUUUCAUCGACUGUCUCUUGCCUUUCAAACCCAAGUAAGGUUCUUCGCGUUGCAUCGAAUUAAACCACAUGCUCCACUGCUUGUGCGGGCCCCCGUCAAUUCCUUUGAGUUUCAACCUUGCGAUCGUACUCCCCAGGUGGGUUGUUUAACGCGUUAGCUCAGGCACCGAAUCUUACGACCCGACACCGAACAACCAUCGUUUAAGGCGUGGACUAC
rnacentral:misc_RNA from 1 species